rnacentral:sRNA from 1 species
UGCCAACAUGGUGAAACCCCCAUCUCUACUAAAAAUAUAAAACAGCUGGGUGUGGUGGUGCACACCUGUAAUCCCAGCUACUUGGGAGGCUGAGGCACAAGAAUCGCUUGAACCCGAGAGGCAGAGGCUGCAGGAGCCGAGAUUUUACCACUGCACUCCAGCCAGGGCAAUAGAGCAAGACUCCGUCUCAAAAAAAGAAAAACCCAGUGGAGAGGGCCAGUCCUGCUUGGGGGGCGGAGUCCUGCUGUGGGCCUGAGUCCUGCUGUGGGCCUGAGUCCUGCUGGGGGUUGGAGUCCGGUUGUGGGGACAGAGUCCUGCUGGGGGGCUAAGCCUGGGUGUCCCCCACGUCCAAGAGGGCUUCGUGACCCUGAGUGUAUGUGGCCAGACCAGGUCAAGUGGUGGCCUCCUCAGGGCCGUCUCUGGGGACCCCGACAGCUGUGGGACCACGCUUGUGAGGCUGGCGGGUGGGUGAAAGACGUGGGGUGGAGCUCCCGAUCUGGUGCAGGCCUGCAGCCUCACCUGACCUCCUGCAGGGAGGAGUGGACAACCGCCAUCCAGACUGUGGCCGACGGCCUCAAGAAGCAGGAGGAGGAGGAGAUGGACUUCCGGUCGGGCUCACCCAGUGACAACUCAGGGGCUGAAGAGAUGGAGGUGUCCCUGGCCAAGCCCAAGCACCGCGUGGUGAGGCCUGUCCCCACUUCUGCCUGUGCCUGGGGCUGCCUUGGACUGUGGAGGGCUGGGUGGGUCAUGGGGUCCCAGCUCGGCCCAGGAGACACUCAGCACUCCACGGCAUCUCCACCUAGGCCGGUUUUCCAUGUAGGGCGCAGCUGCCUCCCAGGUGGGUCCUCUUCCCCAUGUCAGAGGAAAACUGGGGUUGCUGAGCCCUGCCAGGCUUGGGCAGUGUUACCCCACCCUUCCCUGAACCCCAUGCUCUGAGCUGGGGCCGCAGCCAUGUGUUCUCUGUAAGCCUGGACUCCCCGCUGAGCCCAGUAGGCCACCAGGUGUGAAGUGGGCGCCUCUCCUGGCUCUGCCUCCGACUCUGGGGCCCCUCAUGCCACCCCACGCGUGCCGACCAGCUGGGCACUGUUGGCAGCGCCGCGUGCUGACCCUGGUGCCUGCCCAUAGACCAUGAACGAGUUUGAGUACCUGAAGCUGCUGGGCAAGGGCACUUUUGGCAAGGUGAUCCUGGUGAAGGAGAAGGCCACAGGCCGCUACUACGCCAUGAAGAUCCUCAAGAAGGAAGUCAUCGUGGCCAAGGUGGGGCCGGGGCAGUGGGGCAGGGUGGAGAUGAGGGUGCGGGGCGGCAGCUCACCCAGCCCUGCUUUACAGGACGAGGUGGCCCACACACUCACCGAGAACCGCGUCCUGCAGAACUCCAGGCACCCCUUCCUCACAGUGAGUGGGAGCCCAGAUGGGGCUGAAGGGCUGGGGCCAGGUAGCGACUCCUGGGGCUGUCUCUAGGGGACGAUGUCCUGUCUUCUUGGGCACGUGAGGGCUUUACACACCGCGGACUCCGCCGCUGGUGAGACAGGCCUGCCCUGGAGGGUCAGGCUGUGGAGGUGCCCAGUGUGGGCUAGGGGCUGUGCUCGCUGCUCCUGUGUGCGGGCAGGUGGGUGCGGCAGGUGGCCCUGGUCUUCCUUGCACUCUGCCGAGGCUCCAGGAGGCCCCAGCUCCCCAUGCCCUGCAGCCCUGCCUGCCAGGCUUUUGUUGAGGCCCGGGCUCUGUCCUGCAGAACCUGUUCUGGGGACUUGGCCCAGGAGGUAUUUACUGUGAAGGGGGCCAGGCUCCAGCCACUUGGUUAGUUCCAGGUCACUGUGUUUGGGGACAUUCUCCUGCAGAUGGGGCCUUUGCUUUAAAAGCACGGUCGCCUGUGGUGGAAGGCGGGAGGGUGGGUCUCGCCUGGGAGGGUGUGUCCUCCCUUUGCCAAGGCCCUGGUGCUGGGAGCACUGUCACCUGCUGAGGUCCCAACUCACCCUGGAGGACCUCAGCCCAGGCCACCUUGCUCACCUUUCAAACACUCCUUGGCACCUCAGGGGCUUCCGGGGCCCAGCCUGAUGGUGGCGUGGCAUGAGGCAGUGUGGUGUGGGGCAGUGUGGCGUGGGGCAGCGUGGCAUGGGGGCAGUGUGAUGUGGGGGUGUGUGGUGUGGGGCAGUGUGAUGUGGGAGUGUGUGGUGUGGGGCAGUGUGGUAUCAGGCGGCGUGGUAUCAGGCAGCGUGGUGUCGGGCAGUGUGGUGUGGGGCUACGGGCGGUGUGGUAUCAGGCGACGUGGUAUCAAGCAGCGUGGUGUCGGGCAGCGUGGUGCGGGGCUGCCGUCCUGCCUGUGGGGCCGCAGUUCCAGCUCCGCUUCCUUGCAGGCCCUGAAGUACUCUUUCCAGACCCACGACCGCCUCUGCUUCGUCAUGGAGUACGCCAACGGGGGCGAGGUAGGGGCUGGGGCUGCGGGGGAUGGACUUCGCGGCCUGUGGGCCGCCCAUGGUGGGGCUGGUCCUUCCCGGAGCCUCGGCUACUCUCCAUGGCACCAGACGGUGCUCCCUGCUGGGUGGGUGGUGUGAUGCCUGCCCAGGCAGCUGCCUGCUGUGGGGUGACUUGUUCCUGCUGAGUUAGGGCUUCUGAGACUUUCCAGGCCCCCGUGCCCUCUGGUGGCUGGUCCCUUCCCUGUGCAAUGCCGAGACCCGGUCUGAGAAACCCAGCCCUGCAGGCCAUGGGGGCAGAGGCCCGAGCCACGGCUGUGCCUCAGGUUGCGCCUCCCGCAGCUGUUCUUCCACCUGUCCCGGGAGCGUGUGUUCUCCGAGGACCGGGCCCGCUUCUAUGGCGCUGAGAUCGUGUCAGCCCUGGACUACCUGCACUCGGAGAAGAACGUGGUGUACCGGGACCUCAAGGUGCGCUGGCGGGCAGGCAGGGGGCAGGGCCCUGGGGGCCUGGCGGCACUGACCUGAGGCACCUUUCCCCUAGCUGGAGAACCUCAUGCUGGACAAGGACGGGCACAUUAAGAUCACAGACUUCGGGCUGUGCAAGGAGGGGAUCAAGGACGGUGCCACCAUGAAGACCUUUUGUGGCACACCCGAGUACCUGGCCCCCGAGGUGUGCGCCCCACCUGCGUGCAUACGCGUUGCUGCGUCCCCGCGUCCUGAGCACACGCAAUGCUGUGUCCUCUCUGUGCCCCAAGCACGUCACACCUCCCCCGGCAGUGUCCCGGACACCCCUUGAUGCCGAGUCCUGCCCAUCUGCCACCCGUGCAGGUGCUGGAGGACAAUGACUACGGCCGUGCAGUGGACUGGUGGGGGCUGGGCGUGGUCAUGUACGAGAUGAUGUGCGGCCGCCUGCCCUUCUACAACCAGGACCAUGAGAAGCUUUUUGAGCUCAUCCUCAUGGAGGAGAUCCGCUUCCCGCGCACGCUUGGUCCCGAGGCCAAGUCCUUGCUUUCGGGGCUGCUCAAGAAGGACCCCAAGCAGAGGCUUGGCGGGGGCUCCGAGGACGCCAAGGAGAUCAUGCAGCAUCGCUUCUUUGCCGGUAUCGUGUGGCAGCACGUGUACGAGAAGAAGGUGCGGCUGCUCCCCGCAUAUUCACGCGCACGCAUGCUCCCCACAUAUCCACACUCACGCAUGCAGGUGGCACGCUCGCCAGAUUUCCCACACACUCGCCCUCACCUCGGGAGCCUGCUGCAGUCCUGGUACAAGGAGGGCCUUGCUGCACCAACCUCAGCGCCUGGUGCUCAGAGGCUCUGGCACUGCCGGGUUCCACCAGGAAACUGGCCUGGUCCUCAUUUCCUCCUCCCCUCGGAGGUGUGUCACACUCUGAGUUUCCUCCUCCCCUCGGAGGUGUGUCACACUCUGAGUGCCAGCCUUGGGGUUCCCUUCCCUGACGCUGUGCAGUGAAGGCUGGCUGGUGGUGGACCAGGGGUGCUGCCCCUUGGCCUCCACGAGUUCCUCCUGUUUGACCUCAAUCCCUUCUGCCGCAAGGAGAGCCCAGCCCUAUUUCUGGCUGUGCAGGGACAGGGACAGCACCUACUUUUCUGGCACAUGGGGGAGUCCGCCCUGGAGGGAGGCAGCUCUUUCUGCAUGAGUCGCCAUCCUGGGUGCUCAUCUUUCAGGGACCCUAGGAGCCCUGGCCAUCACCCCAGCUGAUGGGGUCUGCCAGCUGGGUUCGGAAGCCUGCACUCUGAGGUGCUGGGUGCCCUGUCACCAGGUGUGCUUCUGCCCCGUUCCCAGCCUGCCCCUCCCCUGAAUGCCUGUCCUAGGCCGUGUGCAGCUGGUCGGGCUGGGCAGCCCUGGGACCCAGCUGGGCACCUGUCCUCCCAUUAACACAGGGUGCCCUGGUCCUGGUCCCCGUUCCUGCCUUGAGGCCUGCCACCCUCCUGCCCUGCCCUCCAAGGGUAUGGGGGGCCUGGGCAGCACUCAACCUCUGCCCAGCCUUGACCAGAGACCUUGCUAAUUGACAAUGGACAAUGCUGGUGCCCAGGCCAGACUCUGGGGUGGGGCAGUGCUUGAGGGGGUCCUUGACUGUGGGACCUGAGGGGCUCUCUGGCAGCUCCUCACGUGUGCACAUCACCUUAUAGUCACCCUUGAUCCUGGGUCAUUGAGAGUCCUGUCUGCAGCCAGAUGCCAGCAGGCUGUGGUCCUGUAGUCCCUGAGCCAUGGAGGCAGGGUGGGCUCAUCCUGUGCACCUUGUUCCACAGUCUCCCUCUUUCCCAAUUUACAAGAAGACCAAUAAGAAAAAUAAGAAAACAAGAAAGAAAAAGGAAAAAUAAAGUCAUCACCUCCUGGUAGCAGGGAGGGUCUCUCAGAGCUGGGCUGCACUACCUCCUGUCGCCUCCUGGGGCUGCUGUGAGGGCAGCUUUGCGUCUCAGCUGUUGAGGGUUGUCUCCGUGCUCCUGCACCCCUCAUGUCCCUCCCUCCCAGAGCUGCCUCUGUCGGGGGCUGGUGGCUUGCUGCUCUCUGACGUCAGUCCUGCCUGGAGACCCCUUGGAGAUCCAGGUGCUUUGAGGGUCUUGAGCACACUUGAGGGUGUGCUGGGAGUGGGGAGCGAAGCUCAUGACUGUCCCGUCUGCCCACCUCUGCAGCUCAGCCCACCCUUCAAGCCCCAGGUCACAUCGGAGACUGACACCAGGUAUUUUGAUGAGGAGUUCACGGCCCAGAUGAUCACCAUCACACCACCUGACCAAGAUGACAGCAUGGAGUGUGUGGACAGCGAGCGCAGGCCCCACUUCCCCCAGUUCUCCUACUCGGCCAGCGGCACGGCCUGAGGCGGCGGUGGACUGCGCUGGACGAAAGCUUGGAGGGAUGGAGAGGCGGCCUCGUGCCAUGAUCUGUAUUUAAUGGUUUUUAUUUCUCGGGUGCAUUUGAGAGAAGCCACGCUGUCCUCUCGAGCCCAGAUGGAAAGACGUUUUUGUGCUGUGGGCAGCACCCUCCCCCGCAGCGGGGUAGGGAAGAAAACUAUCCUGCGGGUUUUAAUUUAUUUCAUCCAGUUUGUUCUCCGGGUGUGGCCUCAGCCCUCAGAACAAUCCGAUUCACGUAGGGAAAUGUUAAGGACUUCUGCAGCUAUGCGCGAUGUGGCAUUGGGGGGCCGGGCAGGUCCUGCCCAUGUGUCCCCUCACUCUGUCAGCCAGCCGCCCUGGGCUGUCUGUCACCAGCUAUCUGUCAUCUCUCUGGGGCCCUGGGCCUCAGUUCAACCUGGUGGCACCAGAUGCAACCUCACUAUGGCAUGCUGGCCGGCACCCUCUCCUGGGGGUGGCAGGCACACAGCAGCCCCCCAGCACUAAGGCCGUGUCUCUGAGGACGUCAUCGGAGGCUGGGCCCCUGGGAUGGGACCAGGGAUGGGGGAUGGGCCAGGGUUUACCCAGUGGGACAGAGGAGCAAGGUUUAAAUUUGUUAUUGUGUAUUAUGUUGUUCAAAUGCAUUUUGGGGGUUUUUAAUCUUUGUGACAGGAAAGCCCUCCCCCUUCCCCUUCUGUGUCACAGUUCUUGGUGACUGUCCCACCGGGAGCCUCCCCCUCAGAUGAUCUCUCCACGGUAGCACUUGACCUUUUCGACGCUUAACCUUUCCGCUGUCGCCCCAGGCCCUCCCUGACUCCCUGUGGGGGUGGCCAUCCCUGGGCCCCUCCACACCUCCUGGCCAGACGCUGCCGCUGCCGCUGCCGCUGCACCACGGCGUUUUUUUACAACAUUCAACUUUAGUAUUUUUACUAUUAUAAUAUGAAACCUUCCCUCCAAAUUCUUCAAUAAAAGUUGCUUUUC